rnacentral:tRNA from 1 species
GGAGAGGUGCGUGAGCGGUUUAAACGGCGCGCUUGGAGAGCGUGUGUACCGAAAGGUACCCAGGGUUCGAAUCCCUGCCUCUCCGCCA